rnacentral:rRNA from 1 species
UACAGGGGGUGCAAACGUUGCUCGGAAUUAUUGGGCGUAAAGCGCGCGUAGGCGGCUACCUAAGUCGGAUGUGAAAGCCCCUGGCUCAACUGGGGAAGUGCACCCGAAACUGAGUAGCUAGAGUGCAAAAGAGGGUCGCGGAAUUCCCGGUGUAGAGGUGAAAUUCGCAGAUAUCAGGAGGAACACCGGUGGCGAAGGCGGGUCUCUGGGCCGAUACUGACGCUGAGGAGCGAAAGCGUGGGGAGCGAACAGG